rnacentral:rRNA from 1 species
AUUGAACGCUGGCGGCAGGCCUAAUACAUGCAAGUCGAACGGUAACAUAAGAAAAGCUUGCUUUUCUUGAUGACGAGUGGCGGACGGGUGAGUAAGAUUUGGGAAACUACCUGAUAGAGGGGGACAACAGUUGGAAACGACUGCUAAUACCGCAUACGACCACUUCAGGCAUCUGAUGGUGGUGGAAAGUUCCGGCGGUGAAGGAUGAGCUCGCGGCCUAUCAGCUUGUUGGUGGGGUAACGGCCCACCAAGGCUUCGACGGGUAGCCGGCCUGAGAGGGUGACCGGCCGACACUGGGACUGAGACACGGCCCAGACUCCUACGGGAGGCAGCAGUGGGGAAUAUUGGACAAUGGGCGAAAGCCUGAUCCAGCAACGCCGCGUGAGGGAUGACGGCCUC